GAUGAACGCUGGCGGCGUGCUUAACACAUGCAAGUCGAACGGAAAGGCCCAAGCUUGCUUGGGUACUCGAUUGGCGAACGGGUGAGUAACACGUGGGUGAUCUGCCCUGCACCUCGGGAUAAGCCUGGGAAACUGGGCCUAAUACCGGAUAGGACCACUCCUUGGAUGUUGUGGUGGAAAGUUUUUUCGGUGUGGGAUUAGCUCGCGGCCUAUCAGCUUGUUGGUGGGGUAAUGGCCUACCAAGACGUCGACGGGUAGCCGGCCUGAGAGGGUGUACGGCGACAUUGGGUCUGAGGUACGGCCCAGAUGGCUACUGGAGGCAGAAGUGGGGAAUAUUGCACAAUGGGUGCCAGCCUGAUGCAGCGAGGCCGCGUGGGGGAUGACGGCCUUCUGGUUGUAAACUCCUUUCGCUAGGGACGAAGCGUUUUGUGACGGUACCUGGAGAAGAAGCACCGGCUAACUACGUG
rnacentral:rRNA from 1 species